GAAAAAACAAGAAAAAGAAGAGAAGAUGGCACAGAAACAGAAAGAAAACAAGGAGAAGAAAACAGGUUUUUGGAGCUGGAUACGCAAGAAGAAGAGCGACAGCGACAGAAAGGUGCACUGAUUUCUAUGUAAAAGACUCGGGAUGGUGAUGUUUAUGCACGCUCCAGAGUGCCUUGCCUCUCUCCCGCCCCCCCUACAGUGCCAACAGGGUCUAACACUAGCUAACGUUAGCUUAGAAAUGGAGUCUGCUAAAAGUCAACAAAGGACCGGCACCCACCACAACACAGAGUUCAAUAAAAGUCGACCUCAGCACAACAACAACAACAACAAAAAAGUUUUAUCUAUUGAAGCCCAUCUGGCCAAACGGCAAUGUGACUGAUGUCAAGGGAAAACUAGAGUCAACAUCGGCUCUGCAUUCGAGACAUAGAGGGACUUUCAUUGAUUUUGGGGAUCAAAACUGACACGGAGCUGGCCUUCUUCCUAUUGGACAGCUAUCAGAAGACUAAUAACUACUAUGACACCAAGAAAGAUUUUCUAAUGGCAGGAGUUUGACCACUGGCUGAGGACUAAGCUUUGGAGGUUUUACAAGAAAAGUAGAUGUGUCUUAUAAUGACUAGACAGAACCCCUAUGUAGCCAAAAUGAAUCCCCUUUUGUGAUUCUAAAUGGUCCCAUUGUCUUUAUGUAUUAUGUUAUAUGGACUCUUACUUGUUUUGUGUGUCGCAUCAAUUGUUGUUGAUUGUUGGUCGAAUAAAACACAACUUUUGGAUAUGUUAACUUACUGUAGAUUUUGGGAAAUUGUGAUGGGCAUUUUUCAUUUUCUUUUCUGACAUCUUAUAGACAAAAUGACUAAUGGAUUAAUUGAGAAAAUUGGCAGAUGAAGCAGUAACGAAAAUAAUUGUUUGUUGCAGCCAUAAAUGCAAAUACUUGAGUUAAAGCUCAGAGGACAGAGGUAAAGAAAGUUUUUCUGUAAAUAAUUUAAUUUCUUUAACCUCAUAUAGAAAUAACAAAGAGAGCAUCAAGUAUUAUGUAUAACAUACAUUUACAAAAUUCAAGUCAAAACAUAACAGUACAAAAUAUCACUCAUCUCAACAUUAAAAAGGUCAUGAUCUUAUUAUAAAAUGUAUCCCAAGAUUUCAUGGAAUUCCCAUGAACAUUAUUGAUGUUUGAUAAAAUAGUCUCAACUCAAGGUGUACUUUCUUAUUCCAGAGCUUUCAACCAUGUCAAUUCCCCAUCAGCAGAAGGAAUUUGCUCCAUUGUCAUUUCACUGAAUUCUACAUGAAUGUAUAACGUACUAAAAGUGCCCAGAAUAAUGGAACGUUUGGACAUCUACAGUUCCAUGACAAUUUAGCAAACUCCAUCUGCUGAUGAAGACUGUAGAUCAAAAGCUCCAGAUUACGGGUAAGUGCAUAUUGUGUUGGGAUUGUUUCUUCAACUGCUCUUUAUGAAAUCAAGAAUAAAUUGUCAAACCUAAUUGUUGCUAUUAUGUCACAAUACAUAACAAUCAGUCUACUUCACAUCUGGAGAUACAGGGCUUCUCCACAGCCCAAAUCUCUAUGGCCUACUACUAAUAAGACAUACCAACUUUUGGACCCAACUAUUUCUCAGCAUUAUACAAAUGCUUUUCUCAGAAUCAAUGAACAGGAAUGCCUGCCCACAUAAUUUGUAUAAAUGUUUGAGCUUUUUGUAAACUGUCCUGAGCUUUUUGAUCCAUAUAAGCGAUGUAUCACUGUAAUUGUGAUUAUAUAAGCGGAUGCCACUGUAUAAUGUUAGUGUUAUAUAGCCUAUCCUCUUGUCUUUUCCUCACUUAAACCUAAGGUUAGCUAACGUUAAGCAAGUAACAAAUGAGUAACAACUUGAUAGCUCGCUACAUUGACCAUCAUUUGCCACAAAUUCAUAUUGGAGCUUGUUAUCCUCACGCUGUAACUACUUACUGUUUCACUCUGUAUAUUAUGUUUAUCUUGGUAAAGUUUUAGCCAACAUCUUGUCAUAACUUCAGUGGUUUCCGACUGCCGUCACAGUCUCGACCAAAGAUGGUACAGGAAUUACGGAGCGGGCAGCAGAGCCAAUGGAAAUGCUGGAUUAGAGCAGCAGCAGUAGCCUCUCCCAGGUCCUAGUGCCCGGCGACUUAGGUACAUUGUGAAUUUGGAGACGCAAUGGCACAAUUUCG